rnacentral:rRNA from 1 species
CAGCCGCCGCGGUAAUACCAGCUCUCCGAGUGGUAGGGAUGAUUAUUGGGCUUAAAGCGUCCGUAGCCGGCUCAGCAAGUCCUCCGUUAAAUCCAGCGAUUCAAUCGUUGGACUGCGGGGGAUACUGUUGGGCUAGGGGACGGGAGAGGCUGACGGUAUUCUCGGAGUAGGGGUGAAAUCCUAUAAUUCCGGGAGGACCACCAGUGGCGAAGGCUGUCGGCUAGAACGAGCUCGACGGUGAGGGACGAAAGCUGGGGGAGCGAACCGGAUUAGAUACCCGGGUAGUCCCAGCUGUAAACGAUGCAGGCUAGGUGUUAGGGUGGCUACGAGCCACUCUAGUGCCGCAGGGAAGCUGUUAAACCUGCCGCCUGGGGAGUACGAUCGCAAGGUUGAAACUUAAAGGAAUUGGCGGGGGAGCACCACAAGGGGUGAAGCUUGCGGUUUAAUUGGAGUCAACACCGGAAACCUUACCGGGGGCGACAGCAGAUUGAAGGCCAGAUUGAAGAUCUUGCCAGACAAGCUGAGAGAAGGUGCAUGGCCGUCGCCAGUUCGUGCCGUGAGGUGUCCUGUUAAGUCAGGCAACGAUCGAGACCCACACUCCCUGUUGCUACCAAGGAAAGUUUCCAAGGGGCACUCUGGGAGGACCGCCGCCGACAAGGCGGAGGAAGGAGUGGGCCACGGCAGGUCAGUAUGCCCCGAAUCCCCCGGGCCACACGCGUGCUGCAAUGGCCGGUACAAUGAGUUCCUACCUCGAAAGAGGAUGGUAAUCCCUAAAGCCGGUCGUAGUUUGGAUCGAGGGCUGCAACCCGCCCUCGUGAAACUGGAAUGCCUAGUAACCGCGUGUCAUUAACGCGCGGUGAAUACGUCCCUGCUCCUUGCACACACCGCCCGU